UUUCCCUCGGGAUAGCAGGAGCAAGUUACGAGCUCUAUCAGGUAAAGCCAUUUAUUAAAGACAUUAGGAACGCAACUUCCUCAAUCUAUUCUCAAUCUUUAAACAGGUAGGACGAUGUGUCUGCUUCGGCUAGCUGUACCAUGGAACCGGGUGCUCGAAGUGGGCCAUUUUUUGUAAGCCGAACUAACGAUGAGAUGAAUCG
rnacentral:ncRNA from 1 species